AUGGCUCAGAAUGAACGCUGGCGCAUGGAUAGGCAUGCAAGUCGAACGUGCUCCCUUCGGGGAGAAAGUGGCGAAAGGGUGAGUAACACGUGAGCAACCUGCCUCCGGAUCCGGAAUAAUCCAGGGAAACUUGGUCUAAAACCGGAUGAAGACAUUUGGUCCGCAUGGUCUAAUGUUAAAAAUAUUUAUAGUCCGGAGAGGGGCUCGCGGCCCAUUAGCUUGUUGGCGGGGUAAUGGCCCACCAAGGCUACGACGGGUAGGUGGUCUGAGAGGAUGGUCACCCACACUGGGACUGAGACACUGCCCAGACUCCUACGGGAGGCUGCAGUCGAGAAUCUUCCGCAAUGGGCGCAAGCCUGACGGAGCGAUGCCGCGUGAGGGAUGAAGGCCUUCGGGUUGUAAACCUCUGUCAUCCGGGACGAAAACAAUGACGGUACCGGAAAAGGAAGCCACGGCUAACCACGUGCCAGCAGCGGC
rnacentral:rRNA from 1 species